UCAGGACGAACGCUGGCGGCGUGCUUAACACAUGCAAGUCGAGCGGAAAGGCCCUUCGGGGUACUCGAGCGGCGAACGGGUGAGUAACACGUGAGGAACCUGCCCUUGGCUCUGGGAUAGCUUCGGGAAACCGGGAUUAAUACCGGAUAUGACUGUUGCCGGCAUCGGCGGCGGUGGAAAGAUUUAUCGGCUAGGGAUGGUCUCGCGGCCUAUCAGCUUGUUGGUGGGGUAAUGGCCUACCAAGGCGACGACGGGUAGCCGGCCUGAGAGGGCGACCGGCCACACUGGGACUGAGACACGGCCCAGACUCCUACGGGAGGCAGCAGUGGGGAAUAUUGCGCAAUGGGCGAAAGCCUGACGCAGCAACGCCGCGUGGGGGAUGAAUGCCUUCGGGUUGUAAACCCCUUUCAGCAGGGACGAAGCGGGAGUGACGGUACCUGCAGAAGAAGCGCCGGCUAACUACGUGCCAGCAGCCGCGGUAAUACGUAGGGCGCAAGCGUUGUCCGGAAUUAUUGGGCGUAAAGAGCUCGUANGUGGUUUGCUACGUCUGCUGUGAAAACCUGGGGCUUAACCCUGGGCUUGCAGUGGAUACGGGCAGACUGGAGGUAGGUAGGGGAGAAUGGAAUUCCCGGUGUAGCGGUGAAAUGCGCA
rnacentral:rRNA from 1 species